AACACAUGCAAGUCGAACGAAUUACCUUCGGGUAUUAGUGGCGCACGGGUGCGUAACGCGUGGGAAUUUGCCCCUUGGUUCGGAAUAACAGUUGGAAACGACUGCUAAUACCGGAUGACGACGUAAGUCCAAAGAUUUAUCGCCGAGGGAUGAGCCCGCGUAGGAUUAGGUAGUUGGUGUGGUAAAGGCGCACCAAGCCGACGAUCCUUAGCUGGUCUGAGAGGAUGAUCAGCCACACUGGGACUGAGACACGGCCCAGACUCCUACGGGAGGCAGCAGUGGGGAAUAUUGGACAAUGGGCGAAAGCCUGAUCCAGCAAUGCCGCGUGAGUGAUGAAGGCCUUAGGGUUGUAAAGCUCUUUUACCCGGGAUGAUAAUGACAGUACCGGGAGAAUAAGCUCCGGC
rnacentral:rRNA from 1 species